AUUGAUCGCCGAUUGAAGUGGAGGUAGCUUUCCUCUGCAUAAGUUAAGUUAGCAACUACGUUAUACAUGUGUCUUGAUACAUAGAGGCCGGCGUGGCCUUAUGAUAAAAUCGGAGUUCGUUCAGUUGUAUUUGAUUUAUUCUUUACUUGUAGCAGCUUGUGAAUCCUUGUCUUACCACCUUGGCAGUGCGUCGUACUGACGGUCUAACACUAUUGUUUUCUUCUUCGAAUCUGGUUUGGUUUGGUUUCAUAAUGUCAGGCACUUUGGUGCUUGGUUC
rnacentral:lncRNA from 1 species